rnacentral:rRNA from 1 species
GACGAACGCUGGCGGCGUGCUUAACACAUGCAAGUCGAACGGAAAGGCCCUGCUUUUGUGGGGUGCUCGAGUGGCGAACGGGUGAGUAACACGUGAGUAACCUGCCCUUGACUUUGGGAUAACUUCAGGAAACUGGGGCUAAUACCGGAUAGGAGCUCCUGCUGCAUGGUGGGGGUUGGAAAGUUUCGGCGGUUGGGGAUGGACUCGCGGCUUAUCAGCUUGUUGGUGGGGUAGUGGCUUACCAAGGCUUUGACGGGUAGCCGGCCUGAGAGGGUGACCGGCCACCUUGGGACUGAGAUACGGCCCAGACUCCUACGGGAGGCAGCAGUGGGGAAUAUUGCACAAUGGGCGGAAGCCUGAUGCAGCAACGCCGCGUGCGGGAUGACGGCCUUCGGGUUGUAAACCGCUUUCGCCUGUGACGAAGCGUGAGUGACGGUAAUGGGUACAGAAGCACCGGCUAACUACGUG